CAUUCCACCACGAAGACGGAGCACUAAAUGCAAUGUUGAUUCCUUCUGAAUGUUGUAGUCCGCCAAAGUCCGGCCAUCUUCAAGUUGUUUACCAGCGAAGAUUAGUCUCUGCUGGUCCGGGGGGAUACCCUCUUUAUCUUGGAUCUUAGCCUUCACAUUAUCGAUGGUAUCGGAGCUUUCCACCUCUAAGGUGAUGGUUUUACCGGUGAGGGUUUUCACGAAGAUUUGCAUUCCACCGCGUAAACGGAGCACCAAAUGUAGGGUUGAUUCUUUUUGUAUGUUAUAAUCGGCGAGGGUUCGACCAUCCUCGAGCUGCUUUCCAGCGAAGAUCAACCUCUGCUGGUCUGGGGGGAUCCCUUCCUUAUCCUGGAUCUUAGCC
rnacentral:misc_RNA from 1 species